CCCAAUCUUCAUCCUCGCAUCCCCAUUCUCAACAAGAUAUCCUCUUGUCCUUACCUGAAUCCACUUUUCUCAGAGGAGCUCUUUUUGGGGUUUCAAUAGCUUCAUGACUGGAUUCCAAGAACUGAGCCAGUGGUGAAUCAUCUUCUUCUACUUCUUGAUGUUGCUUUUCCUAGAUCUAGUUGGGGUUUCAUCUUUUACAAAUGGAGUUUCGAGUGGAAACCUUCCUAAAGGCAUGGUGGUGCAAAUAACGGAGACAUUGAGGUAUAGUUUUAUGGAAGCAAGCGCAAAAUCGUGAUGAAUGACAUCGAGAUCUAUGAGAUGUGUCAGAUUCAAAGUCAAAUUCAGCUCCUUGUCUUUCUCCUUCAACUCCUUCUCCAUUGUUGUUGUUCCCAUCAUCUCGUCGUCAAGCUCGCUCUUUAAUUUCCAAAAGACACAAGUGUUCAGGAUCAUCAAUCGGAGUUCCGUUGAUAUAUCCGAGAUUCGAGUAAGCUAUGGUGAGCCUCCCUGCUUCUAGAGAAUUUCAUUUAUUUUUCUUUUUAGCUAGGAGGUCAGGUGGUCUUGUCCCGACUUCCAUCUUUAUCAGUUAGAUGUUUCAUAGAUAGUAAAUAUAGUUGAGGAGUCUGUAUUAAUCAUUUAUCUUGUUAAAUGUUUUAAAGACUAAAGUUGCCUA